rnacentral:rRNA from 1 species
GUGGGGAAUAUUGGGCAAUGGGCGAAAGCCUGACCCAGCAACGCCGCGUGAAGGAAGAAGGUCUUCGGAUCGUAAACUUCUAUCCUUGGUGAAAAUAAUGAUGGUAGCCGAGAAGGAAGCCCCGGCUAACUACGUGCCAGCAGCCGCGGUAAUACGUAGGGGGCAAGCGUUGUCCGGAAUGAUUGGGCGUAAAGGGCGCGUAGGCGGCCUGGUAAGUUCGGAGUGAAAGUCCUGCUUUUAAGGUGGGAAUUGCUUUGAAAACUGCUGGGCUUGAGUGCAGGAGAGGUAAGUGGAAUUCCCGGUGUAGCGGUGAAAUGCGUAGAGAUCGGGAGGAACACCAGUGGCGAAGGCGACUUACUGGACUGUGACUGACGCUGAGGCGCGAAAGUGUGGGGAGCAAACAGGAUUAGAUACCCGAGUAGUCC